rnacentral:rRNA from 1 species
UGGAAGCGUCUGGAAAGGCGCGCGAUACAGGGUGACAGCCCCGUACACAAAAAUGCACAUGCUGUGAGCUCGAUGAGUAGGGCGGGACACGUGGUAUCCUGUCUGAAUAUGGGGGGACCAUCCUCCAAGGCUAAAUACUCCUGACUGACCGAUAGUGAACCAGUACCGUGAGGGAAAGGCGAAAAGAACCCCGGCGAGGGGAGUGAAAAAGAACCUGAAACCGUGUACGUACAAGCAGUGGGAGCACGCUUAGGCGUGUGACUGCGUACCUUUUGUAUAAUGGGUCAGCGACUUAUAUUCUGUAGCAAGGUUAACCGAAUAGGGGAGCCGAAGGGAAACCGAGUCUUAACUGGGCGUUAAGUUGCAGGGUAUAGACCCGAAACCCGGUGAUCUAGCCAUGGGCAGGUUGAAGGUUGGGUAACACUAACUGGAGGACCGAACCGACUAAUGUUGAAAAAUUAGCGGAUGACUUGUGGCUGGGGGUGAAAGGCCAAUCAAACCGGGAGAUAGCUGGUUCUCCCCGAAAGCUAUUUAGGUAGCGCCUCGUGAAUUCAUCUCCGGGGGUAGAGCACUGUUUCGGCAAGGGGGUCAUCCCGACUUACCAACCCGAUGCAAACUGCGAAUACCGGAGAAUGUUAUCACGGGAGACACACGGCGGGUGCUAACGUCCGUCGUGAAGAGGGAAACAACCCAGACCGCCAGCUAAGGUCCCAAAGUCAUGGUUAAGUGGGAAACGAUGUGGGAAGGCCCAGACAGCCAGGAUGUUGGCUUAGAAGCAGCCAUCAUUUAAAGAAAGCGUAAUAGCUCACUGGUCGAGUCGGCCUGCGCGGAAGAUGUAACGGGGCUAAACCAUGCACCGAAGCUGCGGCAGCGACACUAUGUGUUGUUGGGUAGGGGAGCGUUCUGUAAGCCUGUGAAGGUGUGCUGUGAGGCAUGCUGGAGGUAUCAGAAGUGCGAAUGCUGACAUAAGUAACGAUAAAGCGGGUGAAAAGCCCGCUCGCCGGAAGACCAAGGGUUCCUGUCCAACGUUAAUCGGGGCAGGGUGAGUCGACCCCUAAGGCGAGGCCGAAAGGCGUAGUCGAUGGGAAACAGGUUAAUAUUCCUGUACUUGGUGUUACUGCGAAGGGGGGACGGAGAAGGCUAUGUUGGCCGGGCGACGGUUGUCCCGGUUUAAGCGUGUAGGCUGGUUUUCCAGGCAAAUCCGGAAAAUCAAGGCUGAGGCGUGAUGACGAGGCACUACGGUGCUGAAGCAACAAAUGCCCUGCUUCCAGGAAAAGCCUCUAAGCAUCAGGUAACAUCAAAUCGUACCCCAAACCGACACAGGUGGUCAGGUAGAGAAUACCAAGGCGCUUGAGAGAACUCGGGUGAAGGAACUAGGCAAAAUGGUGCCGUAACUUCGGGAGAAGGCACGCUGAUAUGUAGGUGAAGCGACUUGCUCGUGGAGCUGAAAUCAGUCGAAGAUACCAGCUGGCUGCAACUGUUUAUUAAAAACACAGCACUGUGCAAACACGAAAGUGGACGUAUACGGUGUGACGCCUGCCCGGUGCCGGAAGGUUAAUUGAUGGGGUUAGCGGUAACGCGAAGCUCUUGAUCGAAGCCCCGGUAAACGGCGGCCGUAACUAUAACGGUCCUAAGGUAGCGAAAUUCCUUGUCGGGUAAGUUCCGACCUGCACGAAUGGCGUAAUGAUGGCCAGGCUGUCUCCACCCGAGACUCAGUGAAAUUGAACUCGCUGUGAAGAUGCAGUGUACCCGCGGCAAGACGGAAAGACCCCGUGAACCUUUACUAUAGCUUGACACUGAACAUUGAGCCUUGAUGUGUAGGAUAGGUGGGAGGCUUGGAAGUGUGGACGCCAGUCUGCAUGGAGCCGACCUUGAAAUACCACCCUUUAAUGUUUGAUGUUCUAACGUUGACCCGUAAUCCGGGUUGCGGACAGUGUCUGGUGGGUAGUUUGACUGGGGCGGUCUCCUCCUAAAGAGUAACGGAGGAGCACGAAGGUUGGCUAAUCCUGGUCGGACAUCAGGAGGUUAGUGCAAUGGCAUAAGCCAGCUUGACUGCGAGCGUGACGGCGCGAGCAGGUGCGAAAGCAGGUCAUAGUGAUCCGGUGGUUCUGAAUGGAAGGGCCAUCGCUCAACGGAUAAAAGGUACUCCGGGGAUAACAGGCUGAUACCGCCCAAGAGUUCAUAUCGACGGCGGUGUUUGGCACCUCGAUGUCGGCUCAUCACAUCCUGGGGCUGAAGUAGGUCCCAAGGGUAUGGCUGUUCGCCAUUUAAAGUGGUACGCGAGCUGGGUUUAGAACGUCGUGAGACAGUUCGGUCCCUAUCUGCCGUGGGCGCUGGAGAACUGAGGGGGGCUGCUCCUAGUACGAGAGGACCGGAGUGGACGCAUCACUGGUGUUCGGGUUGUCAUGCCAAUGGCACUGCCCGGUAGCUAAAUGCGGAAGAGAUAAGUGCUGAAAGCAUCUAAGCACGAAACUUGCC